GACGUAGGGCGCGAGCGUUGUCCGGAUUUAUUGGGCGUAAAGAGCUCGUAGGCGGCUUGUUGCGUCGGCUGUGAAAACCCGCGGCUUAACCGCGGGCUUGCAGCCGAUACGGGCGGGCUGGAGUUCGGUAGGGGAGACUGGAAUUCCUGGUGUAGCGGUGAAAUGCGCAGAUAUCAGGAAGAACACCUAUGGCGAAAGCAGCUCUCUGGGACGGUACUGACGCUGAGACGCGAAAGCGUGGGGAGCGAAACAGG
rnacentral:rRNA from 1 species